rnacentral:rRNA from 1 species
UACAGAGGGUGCGAGCGUUAAUCGGAAUUACUGGGCGUAAAGCGUGCGUAGAUGGUUAUGUAAGUCGGAUGUGAAAUCCCCGGGCUCAACCCCGGGAACUGCGUCCGAGACUGGCAGGCUUGAAUCCGGGAGAGGGAUGUGGAAUUCCAGGUGUAGCGGUGAAAUGCGUAGAUAUCUGGAGGAACACCGGUGGCGAAGGCGGCAUCCUGGACCGGUAUUGACGCUGAGGCGCGAAAGCGUGGGGAGCGAA